CGGGAUGUAGCGCAGUUGGUAGCGCGUCUGGUUUGGGACCAGAAUGUCGCAGGUUCAAGUCCUGUCAUCCCGA
rnacentral:tRNA from 1 species